UAGGGAAUUUUGCGCAAUGGGGGAAACCCUGACGCAGCAACGCCGCGUGAUUGAUGAAGCCCUUCGGGGUGUAAAGAUCUGUCAGUGGGGACGAAAGAUGACGGUACCCACAGAGGAAGCACCGGCUAACUCCGUGCCAGCAGCCGCGGUAAUACGGGGGGUGCAAGCGUUGUCCGGAAUCAUUGGGCGUAAAGAGUUCGUAGGUGGUAUGUUAAGUCUGGUGUUAAAAGCUGAUGCUCAACUUCAGUGUGGCACUGGAUACUGGCAAACUUGAAUGCGGUAGAGGUAAAGGGAAUUCCUGGUGUAGCGGUGAAAUGCGUAGAUAUCAGGAGGAACAUCGGUGGCGUAAGCGCUUUACUGGGCCGUAAUUGACACUGAGGAACGAAAGCCGGGGUAGCAAAUGGG
rnacentral:rRNA from 1 species